UAGCAUCUUUGAAGUUGGAAUAUUGGGCUCGUAGAUUUCUUUCCUGAGCUUGCUCAAGGCUCUACAUCUGGGAUUUUCUGGUGCCGUUGGAGCUUGUGCGUUUGAUUGGCGUGUGGAUCUUCGAGGCGGGACUGAUGCCUGUGCACUUCUCAACAUUUGAAGUUCAAAGCCAAGGAAAAAGAUUGUACUUACAGGAGUGGCAUGUCUAGAAGAAGAUCGAUAGAGCACUGGCACUCAUAAGAGUCACUGGAGUAGAAAAAUCAUAAAUUCAAUGGUCUAAACGCUGUACAAAUUGAAUAGUAAUUGACACAAGCAACUGCAUUUCUCUAUGUUAUCCACUAUCCAGCACAAGCGUACUAUUUCUAUAAAAUACGAAACAGAUUAGUAACAUAUUUCUCCUCUAAUACAAGAUGAUACUAUUUGGUAUGUACAGUUUCUACUUAAUUAAGAGAAGAAAAUUCAUGCUCUAGUAAUCCCAUACUUAAUGAACUUGUGAGUUAGUGAAAUCUAGCCUUACUCAGAAAUGCUGUACGGUCCUGCAUGCCUUCUAUCUGCUCGAUGCCAUGAAGGAUUCUGUGGACCUGGUGUCGUCUGAACCUGGUACAAAUAUCUUAGCUUUAGAACAAUGAUAGUUCAACUUUCUGAAGCUAUGAACAUGAUUCAACAGGAAUUCUUUUAUAACUGCCGAAUGUAAGUUACGGUUCUUAAACAAAUCUUAUGCGUCAUGGAAAUUGCAUCUUAACCUAGCAGCGGUCAGUGGGGCAAAUACUACCUCAACACUUAGUACCAAGAAAAGGGGGAAAAAGUACCAAGACAAGAGAGAAUACUAUACUUACAGGAGUGGCAUGUCUCGAAGAAGCUUGGUAGAACACUGGCACCUCGUAAGAGUCACUUCUGGAGAAAAAUUCAAAACUAGUGCUAUAAAUACAGAAAAUUUGAUAACUAUUUAUGCAUGCAUGUAUAUUUAUCUGAAUACUCAAUGUUAUUAAUUAUCUUAUGACUA